UACGGAGGGGGCUAGCGUUGUUCGGAAUUACUGGGCGUAAAGCGCGCGUAGGCGGAGAUCCAAGUCGGGGGUGAAAUCCCGGGGCUCAACCCCGGAACUGCCUCCGAUACUGGGUCUCUGGAGGACGGGAGAGGCGAGUGGAAUGCCGAGUGUAGAGGUGAAAUUCGUAGAUAUUCGGCGGAACACCCGUGGCGAAGGCGGCUCGCUGGUCCGUUUCUGACGCUGAGGCGCGAAAGCGUGGGGAGCAAACAGGAUUAGAAACCCCCGUAGUCC
rnacentral:rRNA from 1 species